rnacentral:rRNA from 1 species
UACGAAGGGGGCUAGCGUUGUUCGGAUUAACUGGGCGUAAAGCGCGCGUAGGCGGGUUUUUAAGUCAGGGGUGAAAUCCCAAGGCUCAACCUUGGAACUGCCUUUGAUACUGGAAAUCUUGAGUCCGGGAGAGGUGAGUGGAACUGCGAGUGUAGAGGUGAAAUUCGUAGAUAUUCGCAAGAACACCAGUGGCGAAGGCGGCUCACUGGCCCGGUACUGACGCUGAGGUGCGAAAGCGUGGGGAUCAAACAGG